rnacentral:rRNA from 1 species
CCUACGGGAGGCAGCAGUGGGGAAUAUUGCACAAUGGGCGAAAGCCUGAUGCAGCAACGCCGCGUGAGGGAUGACGGCCUUCGGGUUGUAAACCUCUUUUAGUAAGGAAGAAGAACUUCGGUUUGACGGUACUUGCAGAAAAAGCACCGGCUAACUACGUGCCAGCAGCCGCGGUAAUACGUAGGGUGCAAGCGUUGUCCGGAAUUAUUGGGCGUAAAGAGCUCGUAGGCGGUUUGUCGCGUCUGCUGUGAAAUCCCGAGGCUCAACCUCGGGCUUGCAGUGGGUACGGGCAGACUAGAGUGCGGUAGGGGAGAUUGGAAUUCCUGGUGUAGCGGUGGAAUGCGCAGAUAUCAGGAGGAACACCGAUGGCGAAGGCAGAUCUCUGGGCCGUAACUGACGCUGAGGAGCGAAAGCAUGGGGAGCGAACAGGAUUAGAUACCCUGGUAGUCCAUGCCGUAAACGUUGGGAACUAGAUGUAGGGGCCAUUCCACGGUUUCUGUGUCGCAGCUAACGCAUUAAGUUCCCCGCCUGGGGNGGACGCGCGAGACGUAAACUAAAUAGAGUAGAGCGNGAGAGNGCGACGACGACACGAGGGAGAG